rnacentral:rRNA from 1 species
CUGGCGGCGUGCCUAAUACAUGCAAGUCGAACGGUCUUUCUAUGGAAGCUUGCUUCCACUGAGAAGAUAGUGGCGAACGGGUGAGUAACACGUGGGUAACCUGCCCAUAAGAGGGGGGAUAACAUCCGGAAGCGGGUGCUAAUACCGCAUAGUUUUCUUGAUCGCAUGAUUGAGAAAGGAAAGACGGCCUUUGUGCUGUCGCUUAUGGAUGGACCCGCGGCGUAUUAGUUAGUUGGUGAGGUAACGGCUCACCAAGACGAUGAUACGUAGCCGACCUGAGAGGGUGAUCGGCCACAUUGGGACUGAGACACGGCCCAAACUCCUACGGGAGGCAGCAGUAGGGAAUCUUCCGCAAUGGACGAAAGUCUGACGGAGCAACGCCGCGUGAGUGAAGAAAAGGUUUUCGGAUCGUAAAACUCUGUUGUCAGAGAAGAACAAGUUGGAGAGUAACUGCUCCAGCCUUGACGGUAUCUGACCAGAAAGCCACGGCUAACUACGUGCCAGCAGCCGC